AAGCGUCAGUCCACCAGCUGAACUCUCAGUCAGACUGGUGAAUGGAACCACUUCCUGUUCUGGGAAAGUGGAAGUCUUCUACAGAGGAGAGUGGUUGGGUCUAUGUCCUAGUUGGUGGAGCAUAAUGAAAGAGACUAAGGUUUUGUGUAGAGAGCUGAACUGUGGGAAUCCUGUAGCUGAAUCUAGAGGACCUCUGAUUGAAGAUGGAAGAGGAGGAGGAUUAUUUCUUUAUAGUUGUAGGGGAAAUGAGUCAUUGUUUAGACAAUGUGAGAUCAGAGGAGAACCUGGUGUCUGUGAUGGUGGAUAUUAUCAUCAUGUGACCUGUUCAGAGUCUGUGCGGCUUGUGGAUGGAGCUGGUCUCUGCUCUGGGAGAGUGGAGGUGAAGUCCAAUCAGUCCUGGGCCUCAGUGUGUGAAGCUGACUUUGACCGGCAGGAUGCAGAGGUAGUC